CUGUGAUGUCAUGUGAUGUCAUAAUGGACAGAAUGAAGGUGUCCAGCUGCAGCCCAGAUUGGCUCAUUCUUUGUCAGGAGACUGAGAAAGAAAUUUCUUCAUUCACAAAAUGUGGAAGAGAAUCAAAUCUUGUUUUUCUUGCUUUCGCAAG